GCCUACAACCAGAUUAUAGAGGGUAGUUAUUUAUCACUUCAAGUGAGAUCUUUCUAAUUUAUCAUUCUUUAUUAUCAUUGUUUGUUGUCGAAAUUAUUAAUAUUGAGAUAUCUAUUGUAUAUGUCCUACUUGUGACUAUGGAGAACUCAUUGUAGUUUUUUACUCAAUUUUUUCACAUUAAAAUUAAUUGUGUCCUUGUUCGAUUAUUAUUAUUGUUUUUAGUUGUUUAAUUUCCUAUUAAGUUCACACGAGAGGAGAGGAGAUAAUUAUCCCAACACUUAAGACAUUUAAGAUGACUUAAAUUUAAAGACUUUUUGAUGAUGAGAAGUACCCAUUGUGCCCCUCUUUAAAAAUACCUCUCAUUCAUCUUUUUCUCGACCACAUAAAAUUCUCAUUUUCUUCAUUCCUCCUUCAACUUCUAUCUUCUUUCUCUCUAGCUCCUCUCUUCAUCAUCCUAAAUUUCAAGUUUCUCUCAGCCUCAUUCUCUUGUGUGAUUACCGUUUUGUUUUUAUUAUUAUCAUAAAUUGUUUAGUCUCUUACUCUCAUUCAUAGUGUAGAGAUAGGUCAGAUUCUCUUUCAUUUUUGUCAUGUUUUGGACUAUUAUCUCAUCUUUGUUAGGUUUUAUUUUAUUUUGCAAUAUUAUUAAAAAAAAUUAUGCAAUGUGUUAAUUGAUUUUCCCCCUGAAAUAUUUAUCAGGGGUUCUUUUUCGUUGCAAACAAGAAAAAGUGUUUACAGUACAUACAGUACAUGACUUUUGAAAGUGUUGAACUGUUUCUCAAGAUAAUUGCUAGAUAAAUUACAGCAUCUUAAUAUAUAAGUGGUUGUGGCUGGAACAUUACAGAUUGUAUGAUUGUUUAAGAAUGACCCGUGUUUGAUUUUAGUUUGGUAUUGUGGAGUAUGAGAUGACGAGUGAGAAUACCAUCAAUUGGUGAAACUCUCACAUUGCAUAAAUGAGACAAUGUCACCAAAAAGACCAUAAUAGAUUAAUAUGUCACAAUCCUAUUGCACGCACAAGAACCCACUUAUACAAGAUUUAAUGGAUACAAUAACAUUAUAACCGCUUGGAUCUUGAACUCUCUUUCGAAGGAAAACUCUGCUAAUGUCAAUUGCAUUGAUUCGGCUAGAGAAAUUUGGCUUAAUCUAGGAAGAAUUGAUCUUGUAUUUUUCAACUUCGUCGUAAGUUCUCGAUUUUGGUUCAAGAUCAGAACUCUAUUACGACAUAUUUUGCGAAGUUGAAGACUCUAGUCUCUGGAAUGAACUCACUUCUAAUCGUCCGGUAUGUUCGUGAAGAUGUUAUUCUCAUGACAGUGUGAAAGAUCUGAUUGAAUAUUUUCAAAACAAAGCACACCAUAGCCUUUUUUAUGGUUUGAAUGAUUUCUUUGCUCAUUUGCACUCAAUUACUCUUUAUCGAGCUUGAGCUCACUAUUUAGAGGGCUUUCUCUUUAGUUGUUCAAUAUGUGGAACAGCGACCAGCGAUCUCUACUUCUACUCCUACAAUAACUAAUGUUGCUACUCUUUUGGUGAAGUCCUUGACAGAUUUCUCUCGACCUUAGUCAUAAACCAACAAGAAGGAGAAAAGCGUCUUCUCUAUACUUCUUGCAAUAUCCUCCAUCACAUAAGAGAUUGCUACUACAAAGUCCAUGGUUAUCCAUUUGGCUAUUUCUCUUUGAAGAGUUCUUUUGCUAAAUUUGAAGGUUUUGCAACAUUCAUUACUAAACCUGAAGAAACUCUGACUUCCUUAAGUUAUGAACAAUGUCAAGGCAUAUUGGCUUGUUGCAGUCUCAUCUUGUGAAGUCAAAGUUGUUUAUCAAUGAUUAUGCUACUAGAAUUCAUGUAUGGACAAGUUUUCUUUGAAGAUGACUAGCAAGGUUGAUCUUUGGCAAGGUUUGUAUCUGAUUGAAGCUGAUUUUCUCAAGUAUCCGAAGUCAAUAAAGGGAGCUUCUUAUUCAUCUCUUGUUAGCGUUAUUAUUUUUCUUGUAAUUUCUCACAUAUUUGGCAUACUAGAUUUGAUCAUUCGUCUAUAAAACACUUGAAUGCUUGAUGUUUUGUCUAAUUUUUUUUAAAGAUGAUCAUUCUCAACCA